UCCUGUUGAUCCUGCAGGAGGUUGCUGCUAUUAGGGUUCGACUAAGCCAUGCAAGUCAUUGCGCAAGCAAGGCAUACUGCUCAGUAACACGUCGAUAAUCUGCCCUUAGCUCCGGGAUAACCUCGGGAAACUGAGGAUAAUACCGGAUAGGGAAAUCCAACUGGAAUGUGGAUUUCCCCAAAAGCAAUGGCUAAGGAUGAGUCGGCGGCGGAUUAGGUUGUUGGCGAGGUAAUGGCUCACCAAGCCGAAGAUCCGUAGGGGCCUUGAGAGAGGUAGCCCCGAGAAGGGCACUGAGAUACUGGCCCUAGCUCCACGGAGUGCAGCAGGCGCGAAACCUUUACAAUGCGCGAAAGCGUGAUAAGGGAACCCUAAGUGAUGGUGCAAAGCAUCAUCUUUUGCCAAGAGCAAAUAUCUUGGCGAAUAAGUGGUGGGCAAUACCUGUGCCAGCCGCCGCGGUAACCCAGGAGCCACAAGUGGCAACCACCUUUAUUGGGCCUAAAGCGUCCGUAGCCGGUUCUGUAAAUUUUCUGUGAAAUCGUUGCGCUUAACGUAACGGCGUGCAGAAAAAACUGCAGGACUCGGGACCGGGAGGAGUCAGAGGUAUUUUGGGGGGAGCGGUAAAAUGCUAUAAUCCCUGAAGGACCACCUGUGGCGAAGGCGUCUGACCAGAACGGAUUCGACGGUGAGGGACGAAAGCUAGGGGAGCAAUCCGGAUUAGAUACCGAGUAGUCCUAGCUGUAAACGCUGCGAGCUAGGUGUUGCGCAAUCUUAGGGAUUGCGUGGUGUCAUAGCGAAGGCGCUAAGCUCGCCGCCUGGGGAGUACGGUCGCAAGGCUGAAACUUAAAGGAAUUGGCGGGGGAGCACUACAAGGGGUGCGGCGUGCGGUUUAAUCCAAUUCAACACGGAGAAUCUCACCAGGAGCGACGGCAGGAUGAAGGACAGUCUAAAGGGCUUUCCUGACGAGCCGAGAGGUAGUGCAUGGCCGUCGUCAGCUCGUGCCGUAAGGUGUCCUGUUAAGUCAGGCAACGAGCGAGACCUGCGCACACAAUUGCUAACAGGUUAGCAAUAAUGACUGAGCACAUUGUGUGGACUGCUCCAGAAAUGGAGAGGAAGGUGCAGGCAACGGUAGGUCUGUAUGCUCCGAAUCUUCUGGGCUACACGCGCGCAACAAUGGUAGGUACAAUGGGAUGCAACACCGAAAGGUGAAGCUAAUCCUCGAAAACCUACCCUAGUUCAGAUCGUGGAUUGUAACUCAUCCACGUGACGUUGGAAUCCCUAGUAAUCAGACUUUAGCAGAGUCCGGUGAAUAUGUCCCUGCUCCUUGCACACACCGCCCGUCAAACCACCCGAGUAGGGUCUAGAUGAGGUCCAAUUUUUAAUUGGUUCGAAUCUAGGCUCAACGAGGAGGGUUAAGUCGUCACAAGGUA
rnacentral:rRNA from 1 species